ACGGAGGGUGCGAGCGUUAUUCGGAAUUACUGGGCGUAAAGCGCGUGUAGGCGGGGGGACAAGUCUGAUGUGAAAGCCCUGGGCUUAACCUGGGAAGCGCAUUGGAAACUGUUUUUCUUGAGUACUGGAGAGGAAGGGGGAAUUCCCGGUGUAGAGGUGAAAUUCGUAGAGAUCGGGAGGAAUACCAGUGGCGUAGGCGCCCUUCUGGACGGUAACUGACGCUGAGACGCGAAAGCGUGGGGAGCAAACAG
rnacentral:rRNA from 2 species